UCUAAUGUGGCAGAAAAGUGCACUGGAUUUAAGCUCCUGACAUAAGAGAUUAACCUCUUCUUUAGAA
rnacentral:tRNA from 1 species